rnacentral:rRNA from 1 species
AGCUUGCUCCCGGAUGUUAGCGGCGGACGGGUGAGUAACACGUGGGUAACCUGCCUGUAAGACUGGGAUAACUCCGGGAAACCGGAGCUAAUACCGGAUAGUUCCUUGAACCGCAUGGUUCAAGGAUGAAAGACGGUUUCGGCUGUCACUUACAGAUGGACCCGCGGCGCAUUAGCUAGUUGGUGAGGUAACGGCUCACCAAGGCGACGAUGCGUAGCCGACCUGAGAGGGUGAUCGGCCACACUGGGACUGAGACACGGCCCAGACUCCUACGGGAGGCAGCAGUAGGGAAUCUUCCGCAAUGGACGAAAGUCUGACGGAGCAACGCCGCGUGAGUGAUGAAGGUUUUCGGAUCGUAAAGCUCUGUUGUUAGGGAAGAACAAGUGCAAGAGUAACUGCUUGCACCUUGACGGUACCUAACCAGAAAGCCACGGCUAACUACGUGCCAGCAGCCGCGGUAAUACGUAGGUGGCAAGCGUUGUCCGGAAUUAUUGGGCGUAAAGGGCUCGCAGGCGGUUUCUUAAGUCUGAUGUGAAAGCCCCCGGCUCAACCGGGGAGGGUCAUUGGAAACUGGGAAACUUGAGUGCAGAAGAGGAGAGUGGAAUUCCACGUGUAGCGGUGAAAUGCGUAGAGAUGUGGAGGAACACCAGUGGCGAAGGCGACUCUCUGGUCUGUAACUGACGCUGAGGAGCGAAAGCGUGGGGAGCGAACAGGAUUAGAUACCCUGGUAGUCCACGCCGUAAACGAUGAGUGCUAAGUGUUAGGGGGUUUCCGCCCCUUAUGCUGCAGCUAACGCAUUAAGCACUCCGCCUGGGGGAGUACGGUCGCAAGACUUGAAACUCAAAGGAAUUGAACGGGGGGCCC